GAUCCAGCGAUCCAGGACGACGACAACUAUCGUAGUAUCUGUUGUGAGUUUGACCCGGCCUACAAGUUCGUUGUGUUCGGGUCAGCUCGGGGCUGUUCGCUGUUGCACGCCUCCCUGUGCUCGGCCCGCUGUGUGGUAUGGGCCAGUGUGUGGCAGCUGUCGCUGCGGGCUGUUUGCGAGUGCGUUCAGGAGCUGACUGUUUCAGGCCGUUCAUAUCUUGCUCCCUCACACUUAUCGCGUGAUGUUGCGUUAUCCGCGAAUACUCCUAUGGGACAGUUAAUGUGAUUAAUCCGUUUAACAGCAUCGCGGAGGUGCCGGCUCAAAUUCUGCCAAAAAAGAACUGCUAAUUUCGCCUACAAGACGACGUUUCAGGAGGCAUUUCGGGACCAAGGGGUGCCCCAUGACGUCGUCUGCGGAAAGGAAGCCUAUAUUGUGAAGGUAA